GGCCAUGCUGAAGAAGGACCAAGGAACUCCAUCAGGUCUCCCAUGUGGGUGGCAGGGGCCCAAGCACCUGGGCAUCCUCCAUGGUCUCCUAGAUACAUUGGCAGAGAGCUGGAUUGGAAGUGGAGCAGCCGGGACUCAAACCAGCACUCACAUGGGAUGCUGCUGUUGCAAGUGAUGGCUUUUCCUGCUGCACCACAAUGCUGGCUCCAGAAAUAUUAUCUUCAAAGUCCAUUUAUGUUGAAUGGGUAUAAAGAAACAGCAGACAUCGGCUUCCAUUUUGGCCGUAUUUUGGGCGUAGUGGUAAACAGAUCAAAUCUCAGGAGGGUCCUGCCUCAGUUUCUUCUCUGUUAUUCCCCUUUAGGCUGCUCUGGACCUGCCCAUCAUCCUGUGAGAUUAUAUCCUAAAGCAGUGGUUUUCAAAAUGUGGUCCCAGGACCAGUGGCUUCGGCAUUCCCAGGGAAGUUGUUAGAAAUACAAGCUCUGGGGUCCCAUCCCGUACCCAGUGAAUCAGCAACUCUGGUUCAGAGUCUGGUAUUCUUCACAAGCCCCCAGGAGAUUCUGCUACUGGAUUAAAGAACUUUCUCAAAUACAGGGACAAGAAGACAUUUUCAUUGGACAUUGUUUUCUUAAGAAGGUAACAUUCAAUCUACAUUUAAAAGGAGCUCCCAACUUUAAACUGUGGAAGUAAUUUAUCAACUCCCUCAUUUUCCUGGGAAGAAACCGGCUGAGCUUGGGGAAGGUGUGGAUAAGUCUACAGCUGCACAAGGAAGACUGCCAUUUGGAUGCUCCCUUUGCAACCUUUCCAGGCAUCUUCAGGAGAAUCGUAGUAGGAUAAGAUCCCCCCACAGAGAAGGAACCAGCGAGGCUGCCAGCCUGGAAACAGAAGCAAGAGCACUGUCACCACGACUGCUGGCACGGCAGGUGCCGCCCAGGCCCAGCUCCACGGAGCUUCAUAUCGCAAAGGAGAUUCUAAGAAAAAGCAGGUUAGAAAAGACUUGUUCAUCGGUUCUCAUUUCUGUGAAAGUAAAACAAACACCGUUGAGGUGUUUUUUUAGUCACGUGAAGCACAGAGUAAGUCGGGAUCAGCCGCAAGUAUAGUGAUGUUCUCUGGGCAACUGGAUUGACAGUUGAUUUUCAUUCUCCUUUUCCCCUAAUACAGUACUAGCCAUAUGUGAUUUCUAAUUUUUUCCAAUCAUUUGAUUAUUGCAUCCUGAAUGUUAUUAUUAUGACACACUCACCUUUCUCUCUUAUUAUGACACACUCACCUUUCUCUCACUUAUAAGUGCAGAAAUAAAGAUUACAAUUAAUGCUCAACAAACAUUAUGCAAAGUGCUGCUAAGUCUGCCUAGAGUCACAUGACCCUUAGGGAACGGUAACUUUGUUGAACUUAGCAGUCAGUAUUGAUCCACUGAAACAGUCAUCUUGAUACACUAAGGCUUCACGACAUUCACUUCAGUGUUGGAGAACUUCAGGGGAAAAACCACAGACAGCAGAAACAAACAUUUUAUCCAGUCCUCACAUACUUGACCUCAGACCAAGCUUAUUUUAUGUAUUUCUGCCUCUGGGCUUUUGUCCACACUGGCUCUUCUUCACGAAACGUCAUCCCUGACUGUGAAAGCCCUGUCAGUUCCCCCCAGUGUCUCUCAAAUGCCACAGCCUGCUGGGAUACAUUUCCGCCAGGGGAUUAUGCUAGGCUGAAGUAACCACAAAGAAGGUCACUGGGGGCCUUGGGCAGAGGCUGCUCAGGCACAGACAUCUGAUGGGCCCUUGGAAAAUGAGUCACACAAACCAACUGGGCAAGAUGUAGACUGAUGUCAAAUGGUAUAUAUUUCUAUUUACUACGUUACAUAUAGGAAACUACUGCAUUUUCCAGAGCACCCCGCGCCCAAGGAAACUACAUUUGGGAUCAGAAGGCUGAAUGGUCAGCACUAAAGCUAAGCAAAGGCGUUAGGUGGGCAGGUAAGGUUUCACUCAUUUAUUUUCUUAAGAUUCAUUUAUUUAUUUGAAAGGCAGAGUUACAGAGAGACAGAAGCAGAGGCAGAGGCAGAGGCAGAGGCAGAGAGAGAGAGGUCUUCCUUCCGCUUGUUCACUCCCCAGAUGACCACAACGGUCGGAGCUGUGCCAAUCCGAAGCCAGGAACCAGGAGCCAGGAGCCAGGAGCUUCUUUCAGGUCUCCCACAUGGGUGCAGGGGCCCAAGGACUUGGGCCAUCUUCUACUGCUUUCCCAGGCCACAGCAGAGAGCUGGAUCAGAAGUAGAGCAGCUGAGAUUCAAACCGGCACCCAUAUGGGAUGUCAGUACUGCAGGCGGCAGCUUUACCUGCUACGCCACAGUGCUGGGCCCCUCAUUUAUUUUCUUCACUUGAUUCGGUUCAGGCCUGCCAGGUACUGCCUUUCAUUUCUUUAAUCAAAACUGGAUAAACACUGAUUUUCAACAUUCACAUUCCAAUAAUAUCUGAACUAGAAUGUCCUGCCAAACACCUCUUCUUCAUCAAAGAUAACUAGUCCUUUUCAAAGCUAUGGUUUAUGUUCCUUGUGUUACAUUUUAUAUUGGUGACUUCCUUCCCAAGGUACUAGGCCCUUUAUUGGAUGUCAGGAGCCUUAUGGCCCUAACUUCACCCCAGCAUGAGUCAAUUCUUGGCUGGCAAACCCCUUGGAAUGAAGAUACAAAAUUCUAUUUCAGAAAGUGAUGCUUCCCAUGUAGGCUUCAAAUUCUAUAGAAACUCACAGCGAAGGCCACUGUUUUUUGCACACACGUUACAACUUGGGAAGCUCAACUGAUCAUCAGACUAUGUCUUGUUGAGUUAGCACUCCCAGAAUCAAACAUUAUUGAGGAUGUUUUAGCCAUUUGCAUCUGAUUAUACCUAUUACUGAAAUUGAAGAAAUCAGUUUCUGAGAAGUUGAGAAAUAGAAGAGGUCUUUGACAUCACUGAAGACCAACCAGCUCAUUUUACAGAGAAGGAAGCCAACCCCAGACUCACAGACAGAAAACAGCAGAGCUGGGAAGGAAACCAUGUCUUUUGAUGCUGCUUCUUCUGGCACAAAAUGUCCAAAAAUUUUGGCUCCUGUUCUCAGAAAGCCAUCUUGGUAUAGAACAAUAGCAUCUUUUCACUUAUAGCUCAAAUCUCAUGACUAUGGCUGGUGUAAAUACUCCCCAAAUCCAUCAUGAUUUUUAUGUAGAAGGCAUUUAAGUUAUCUUUAGUUACUGCAUUUCAUCAAAUUUAGGACACAUCUCUUUAAGUCAGCAUUCUCAAGAAUUAA